UCCAGGGGAGUGGGGUCCCUGCUGACAGAGGAGGUGACAGCGGCUCAAACCCUCCGGGGAAGAGGAGCUGGAGAGACGAGGGCAGGUCCAGUCCACACCACCCUAGAGAUUUUACCACACGUGAAACUCAUCACCGUGUUCUCACACGCAGCGUGGCGACUCCCAAGAAAACCAGACGGCAACUGUGCACCAUAUGGAGAAUAAAGCUUUAGUAUCAUAGUGAUAAACAGCGACUCACCAGACAGAGCUUUGUUCUCCAAUGGGAAGGAGGUGAGAAAUGAUUGAGUCCUCCUGUAAAAUGUAACUAAACAUGUUUACGUUCAUUCAGAGAGAGAUCUAUACAGUCCUCAGCCAUAAAACUGACUCUGCAAAUGCUUAACCUUUCUAUAACCCACAUGGGUGAGGUGACGGGGUCUGGAAGGUACAAAUAAGGGCGGAGAAACCCUGGCAAGAUCAUCUCCCCGUGAGAAGACUCUGGAGAAAGGUGUGUUUGGGGGUAAGGAGAGAAAGCUCGGGGUCACCACCUUUGGUCCCUGCAUCCUUUGCUCUGCGUCUCAGGGAGAAAUCGCACGGCGGCACCGUCAAUACCUUCUGCUCCGAGUUUCCCAAACUGAGAACUUGCGUGUCCUGCAAAUCAGUGAAACAUUUACCAGUUGCCACCAUGAGCUUGGCUGUGUCCCAUGGUGCUGCGAGCAGAGGAACGGGGAGUGUGUGACUGUGGGGAGUGAAUUCUACGGGGCACGGUCUCCCAGAAAGUAGACACAUUUCCAUCACGCUUUCUCGUCCUUGAACAGACGUGAGAAAACCAGAAACGUCAUCUCCAGCGCUUCCAGGAUCACAUCAAGUGUCCCUCUCUGAUUCUCCUGUUGCGAGCCAGCCGCAGCAGUCUGGGUGUCAGGGGUUCCUGAAGGAUGGGAAGGCGUCGGCGCAAUUGUAGAGAAAUGAAAUCUGCCCCAUGCCCGGACUUUUGUCAGACGACAUGAGUAGCGCGGCUCCCCAUAAUCUCCUUGCUGGUGUCAGCAUCGGGUUUCUCCGUAUCGAAGAUGCCAGGCGUGUCCACCACCACCACUUCUCCCCCGUGCCAGGGGCUGCUCUCUCUCUGGCAGGACUUGGUGACGGAUUGUGCAGCGAGGCUGGAAUGAAACGCCUUCCUCCCGAGGAUGCUGUUCCCCAUGGCGCUUUUCCCUGCUCCAGUCUUACCCAGUAAGACCAGUCUCAGCUGUGACCCUCUGGGGUCUCGGUGUCCAAGGCCUGGGAUGAGCUGGGGGGGCAGA